rnacentral:rRNA from 1 species
GACGAACCGUGCGAACGUUGUUCGGAAUCACUGGGCAUAAAGGGCGCGUAGGCGGCUUUUCAAGUCAGGGGUGAAAUCCGGCAGCUCAACUGUCGAAGUGCCUUUGAUACUGAGAAGCUCGAGGGAGGUAGGGGUGUGCGGAACUUCCGGUGGAGCGGUGAAAUGCGUUGAUAUCGGAAGGAACGCCGGUGGCGAAAGCGGCGCACUGGACCUCUUCUGACGCUGAGGCGCGAAAGCCAGGGGAGCAAACGGG